AGCACUGCGUCAACUGGGCAUGGCGCAUGCCUAGGAUUUCGGUUCUUGGGAGGUCAGGUAUUUAUGGUCCUUUCAGCUACAAAGUGAGUUUGAGGCUAGCCUGUGCUACUUAUGAGCUUGUCUCAAAUGCAUCAGAGGUGCAUCUGACGGGGAAGUCUGCUCUGUGGCUGGCCGUUACAGUUUAUACUGUUUCUUGCCUGCUGGGCUCCUCACCCUUCAGCUUCCCCUUCUGUUCUCAGAUCCUCAAAGUCCAGAGGUUCAGAGGAGAACAACUGGGCUUGGGCAUCCCUGCAGCUGGGACAGGGUCAGCCGACUUCAGGCAGAGCAGAAGGGUAAUGGAUUCCAACCAAGGGUCAGCCAACAAGAGCCCCUUCUAAGGGUCCAGCCUUGUACUUCAUUCUCCUGUGGCAUGGACCCAGAAGGAGAGGAAGGGCCUUUGAGCUAGACAUCCCUGUGCCACUUACAUAGACGGCUUGGGCAGAUGGGUCGGUAUGUUAACCCUAAGCUGUAGGUUUCAUGUUAGAGACACAUGACCAGUUGGCGAGGCUGGAAGUAGAAAAGGCCGUGGACUUGGCUUGGCACAGAAUCACAUGUCCACUGGACCCCUGCUGGGACUUGGCCUCUGCCUCUUGUUCUCUGGUGGCCCUGGCAGGCUCCAGUCUGGCGUCACUUUGGAGGCCAGAGUGAGUCACACACAAAUGAAAGAAGAUGCUAUGGUGUUCCUGUUAGAACAGACGUGAGGAUGGGGAUCAAUGCACUAAGUCCAAUUAGUUGACCAAUUAGUUAUGGGCGGUCCACAACUCAAGGAGGCAAAUAAUGUUGUCUCCAUUUUACAGAUGAGAACAUUGAGACCCAGGCAGAGAAAAAAAGCUAUUUAGAGUUCAACUGAAGUAGCACAGGCGUGGAUAGAUAGCAUCCUGUCAGCCCUCAGUGUGAGACUGUUAAGCUCUCUCGUCUCCGUCUCUGGAGUGGGAAGAGAGAUGGCGUUUAUAGCUACAGAAGACUCUGGAGGUUUGUCCCUGGAGGUCUGUGAACCUAAGGGCUCUGAUUCCCUCAGAUUCCUCCACUUUGGGACACUGGGGCUGCUCUGCUGCCUUCUGCGUUUUUGAGAUGUGCGUGGUGUUCGAAAGCAUUCCAGGGAAGCGAAUUUCUGGACGC
rnacentral:lncRNA from 1 species